rnacentral:rRNA from 1 species
AAUAUUGCACAAUGGAGGAAACUCUGAUGCAGCGACGUCGCGUGAGUGAUGAAGGCUUUCGAGUCGUAAAGCUCUGUCCUUGGGGACGAUAAUGACGGUACCCAAGGAGGAAGCCCCGGCUAACUACGUGCCAGCAGCCGCGGUAAUACGUAGGGGGCGAGCGUUGACCGGAAUUAUUGGGCGUAAAGGGUUCGCAGGCGGCCAGAUAAGUCAGAUGUGAAAUCUCACGGCUUAACCGUGAUAGGCAUUUGAAACUGUAUGGCUUGAGUUAAGGAGAGGAAAGUGGAAUUCCUAGUGUAGCGGUGAAAUGCGUAGAUAUUAGGAGGAAUACCAGUGGCGAAGGCGACUUUCUGGACUUAUACUGACGCUGAGGAACGAAAGCGUGGGGAGCAAACA